rnacentral:rRNA from 1 species
CCCUUAGAUGUCCUGGGCCGCACGCGCGCUACACUGACAUGUUCAACAAGCCUCCUAGUUCGACAGGAUUUGGGAAAUCUUUGAACGCAUGUCGUGAUAGGGAUAGAUCAUUGCAAUUAUUGAUCUUGAACGAGGAAUUCCUAGUAAACGCGAGUCAUCAGCUCGCAUUGAUUACGUCCCUGCCCUUUGUUCACACCGCCCGUCGCACCUACCGAUUGAAUGUUUCGGUGAAGAUUCCGGAUAGGACUUUUUUGAUUUAUUUCAAUUUUGUCUUAAAAGCUAUCUAAACCUCAACAUUUAGAGGAAGGUGAAGUCGUAACA